rnacentral:piRNA from 1 species
UAAUCCCGUGUUCAAGUUCAAAGUGUCUGAAU